GGGUGGUUAGCUCAGUUGGUAGAGCAUCUGGUUUACACCCAGGAGGUCGACAGUUCAAAUCUGUCACUACCCACCA
rnacentral:tRNA from 1 species